GUGUGUGGGUGAUGGAUUGAGCAGGGGAGAAGACAAACCCUAAAAACCACAAAAUUCCCCAAAUUGGAAGAGAAAAAUGAAGGUUUGAUGGAUGCAUGAGCUAUAUUCCCAACCAUCUACACAAGAUAAACACAUGCAUUAGGGAUCAUGUGGAAGUGGACUCAAGCACGAAAGACUAACGGGUCAAGAGGGGACAAGGAAGCCAAUGCGAAAAUGGACGCUCAAGGAAUGAGUACAUCGGAUUCUUAUGAAAUUUAAGGCGAAUCCGGAACAAGAGAAGGAGAAGGGUUAUUCGAAUGGAUGAAGUUACAUUAUCGAACGUUAUUCAAUCUUUAAUUAUUUGAGAUUAAUGUUAUAUGAUGUUGUCAUUGACUAAUGGCUAAGUUGUAUGUGAUGC